CUGGCACUGAAUCAAGGCUGGUUGCUUGCUGUAGCUACUGGUUUCAAACAGAGGCCUAAAUCAUACUCUUUCUAUGGUCUGUUGGCUGUCCAAGCUUGCUGUGUGACCCAGCCAAUUCAGUUGAAAGAAACAUUU